CAAUAGCGUAUACUAACGUUGUUGCAGUUAAAAGCUCGUAGUUGGAUUUCUGUGUUGGUGAGGCGGCCGGCCAUUCGUGGUUGUAGCUAGUUAUCACCGGCGCAUCUUGUCACAAGCCACGCUGGCCUUAACUGGUUGGCGUUGGGGACUGACUCGUUUACUUUGAGAAAAUUAGAGUGUUCAAAGCAGGCUAUCGCCUUGAAUAUGUUAGCAUGGAAUAAUGAUAUAGGACUUUGGUUUCUAUUUUGUUGGUUGUUCGAGAACCGAAGUAAUGAUUGAUAGGGACAGUUGGGGGCGAUCAGUAUUCUGAAGCGAGAGGUGAAAUUACUUGGACCUUCGGUAGGACUAACAACUAGCGAAGACGAUUUGUCCUACGGAUGUUCUCUUUAAUUACUAAGAACGAAAGUUAGGGGGAGUCGAAGAUGAUCAGAUACCGU
rnacentral:rRNA from 1 species